AGUAAUUCUAGAGCUAAUACGUGCGUAAAUCCCGACUUCUGGAAGGGACGUAUUUAUUAGAUAAAAGGCCGACCGGACUCUGUCCGACUCGCGGUGAAUCAUGAUAACUCCACGGAUCGCAUGGCCUCGUGCCGGCGAUGUUUCAUUCAAAUUUCUGCCCUAUCAACUUUCGACGGUAAGGUAUUGGCUUACCGUGGUGGUAACGGGUGACGGAGGAUUAGGGUUCGAUUCCGGAGAGGGAGCCUGAGAAACGGCUACCACAUCCAAGGAAGGCAGCAGGCGCGCAAAUUACCCAAUCUUGACACAAGGAGGUAGUGACAAUAAAUAACAAUACCGGGGUUUUUCAACUCUGGUAAUUGGAAUGAGUACAAUCUAAACCCCUUAACGAGGAUCAAUUGGAGGGCAAGUCUGGUGCCAGCAGCCGCGGUAAUUCCAGCUCCAAUAGCGUAUAUUUAAGUUGUUGCAGUUAAAAAGCUCGUAGUUGGAUUUCGGGCGGGCUCGGCUGGUCCGCCUAUCGGUGUGCACUGACCGAGCCCGUCUUGUUGCCGGGGACGGGCUCCUGGGCUUAACUGUCCGGGACUCGGAGUCGGCGAGGUUACUUUGAGUAAAUUAGAGUGUUCAAAGCAGGCCUACGCUCUGAAUACAUUAGCAUGGAAUAACACGAUAGGACUCUGGCCUAUCUUGUUGGUCUGUGGGACCGGAGUAAUGAUUAAGAGGGACAGUCGGGGGCAUUCGUAUUU
rnacentral:rRNA from 1 species